UCUGGCGAGGCCCACCCUGCCCUGCAUCGGAUCUGACACGGCCACCUCCAACCUUCUUCCUCCCCACCCAUCACCAAGCGACUGGGCCUCCUACCACCUUCCUCUGUGGCCGGAGUACAUCAUCUGUGCUGGUGGUCUCCCCACAUGGGAGAACACCUACUACUUGGGUGAGAAGGGGGAUGCCAAUAGACGGGCAACUCCAUCGGAUCUGAUGCAUGGAAACAAAACAUCGUCAUCACGUCCACGUCCCAGUGCACUCCACAGUCUCCCCGGCUGAGCACCGAGGCAUGCCCGAGAAAAGCGAGAAGAUAAACAUGUGAGGUCACGAGGAGUCCUCCUUGAUCCCACUCCUUUCUUCGAUCGUCAACGGGUUCUCUGGCUUAUGUGGUAGGGCACCGGCCAUCGUAUCUCACCUCGACCCCAUGCGCCCUCCCCACUCAUUUCUUCUGGCCUUCUUGUCGAAACGGGCUUAACCUCGUGUCGACAAGGGUUUUCUUUUCUCUGAAGAAAAGAGGGGGAUCAAAAGGAGGUUCGUGUUUCUUCAGAGCUCGGUGACGCGCCAUGUGCAGUUUGCUCCUAGUCACCGCGCAUGUAUGCAAUACCACUUGCGCGUCUAUGGCGUGUCCAAGAAGUACAUCGAAGGGGCAUUCGAUGGUGAGCUGCUCCCUCUCAACGGCAAUAACAAAUGUUGUUUACCCACGCGGGUGAAGUUUGCCCCGGUUCUCAAUGGGGUUCGGUUGCCCUGGUGUUGAAGUGCGCAUGGAUUUUUUCUUAUCCUCGGGAGCAUGUCGUGGACGUGCAGCUCGCGGUGUACUAGAAAAAAGAAUGAAAAUUUUCUUUUUUGAAGUUUCACUUUGUUCUUGAAUGUGUGGGGAAAAUGUAUAUAGCGUUUGCACGCGUUUUUGAAUGUCUGCAUGUGUUUUGUUACGACACCAUUUUCGCUCUAGUUUUUAAACCGUUAGUCGGAAUGAGGCGUAUAAUAUACCAUUGGAUUGUUACGGAAAA